UCGGGCCUUGCGCUAUUCGAUGAGCCUGAGUGAGAUUAGCUAGUUGGUGGGGUAAAGGCCUACCAAGGCGACGAUCUCUAGCUGGUCUGAGAGGAUGAUCAGCCACACUGGGACUGAGACACGGCCCAGACUCCUACGGGAGGCAGCAGUGGGGAAUAUUGCACAAUGGACGAAAGUCUGAUGCAGCCAUGCCGCGUGUGUGAAGAAGGCCUUCGGGUUGUAAAGCACUUUCAGCGAGGAGGAAAGGUCAGUAAGUAAUAUUUGCUGGCUGUGACGUUACUCGCAGAAGAAGCACCGGCUAAUUUAGUGCCAGCAGCCGCGGUAAUACUAAAGGUGCAAGCGUUAAUCGGAAUUACUGGGCGUAAAGCGCGCGUAGGUGGUUUGUUAAGUUGGAUGUGAAAGCCCAGGGCUCAACCUUGGAACUGCAUUCAAAACUGACUCACUAGAGUACGAGAGAGGUUAGUGGAAUUUCCUGUGUAGCGGUGAAUGCGUAGAGAUGGGAAGGAACACCAGUGGCGAAGCGA
rnacentral:rRNA from 1 species